ensembl:lncRNA
CAUUCAGCUAGGCAAAAAGGCUUUGAGCAGACCCACAAUUGCCUUUCUCUCAUUUAUUUGGGCUAGAAUUAAGGUUUAUUUGUUUUCUGUUUUCUUCUUCUUCAGAUUGUUUCUCUGUCUUUAGCCAUUUAACAAACUGUUCCCUCCUGUAUCUCAGAAGGAUGCACCUAUAGGGCCUACAACUCUGUCUGCAGUCUGCCUACCUUCUCCUUUUGAAUACAUUUCUCUCAACUCAUUUUGCUGGAGCUCCUAAAUAUCUUUCAAGACCUCAAGUUGAUGGUGUUGUGAUGAGGAGGGGAGAUGACACAUUCCCGUUCUCUGCUACUCUGGGAUCAGUGGCUCCCAAAGAAGCCCCGGACAGCUCCUUCCGCCUCCCAUCACAUGAGGUUAUGGAGGAAAGAUGGUCAUCUAAGGAGCGGGGCCUCUCCAGACACUAACCUUUGCGCACCUUGACCUCAGACUUACCAGCUCCAGGAACAGUGGGAAAUACAGUGACAAACUGGAACGGUUUGUCUUUUCCAGGGACACUUGCCAAUGUCUUUGGACUAUCUUUUCCAAGGAUCUGAAUCUUUUCCAAGGAUCUGAAUCUUUUCCAAGGACUUAGACUGCGUAUUU